rnacentral:rRNA from 1 species
GACGAACGCUGGCGGCGUGCUUAACACAUGCAAGUCGAACGGAAAGGCUCCAGCUUGCUGGAGUACUCGAGUGGCGAACGGGUGAGUAACACGUGGGUAAUCUGCCCUGCACUCUGGGAUAAGCCUGGGAAACUGGGUCUAAUACUGGAUAUGACCUUUCUCCUUAUGGGGUUUGGUGGAAAGUUUUUCGGUGUAGGAUGAGCCCGCGGCCUAUCAGCUUGUUGGUGGGGUGAUGGCCUACCAAGGCGACGACGGGUAGCCGGCCUGAGAGGGUGAUCGGCCACAUUGGGACUGAGAUACGGACCAGACUCCUACGGGAGGCAGCAGUGGGGAAUAUUGCACAAUGGGCGGAAGCCUGAUGCAGCGACGCCGCGUGAGGGAUGACGGCCUUCGGGUUGUAAACCUCUUUCAGCAGGGACGAAGCGUAAGUGACGGUACCUGCAGAAGAAGCACCGGCUAACUACGUG